rnacentral:rRNA from 1 species
UACGUAGGGGGCUAGCGUUGUCCGGAUUUAUUGGGCGUAAAGAGCGUGUAGGCGGCCAGGUAGGUCUGCUGUGAAAACUCGAGGCUCAACCUCGAGACGUCGGCGGAAACCAUCUGGCUAGAGUCCGGAAGAGGAGAGUGGAAUUCCUGGUGUAGCGGUGAAAUGCGCAGAUAUCAGGAAGAGCACCCGUGGCGAAGGCGGCUCUCUGGGACGGUACUGACGCUGAGACGCGAAAGCGUGGGGAGCGAACAGG